AGAGUUUGAUCCUGGCUCAGGAUGAACGCUGGCGGCGUGCCUAACACAUGCAAGUCGAACGGGCCGGUAGCAAUAUCGGUCAGUGGCGGACGGGUGAGUAACACGUAAGUAAUCUACCUUUGAGACCGGGAUAACCCACCGAAAGGUGAGCUAAUACCGGAUGUAGUCAUCGGGUUUAAAUCUUGAUGAUUAAAUGGAAUUCGCAAGAAAACCGCUCGAAGAUGAGCUUGCGGCCUAUCAGCUUGUUGGCGGGGUAAUGGCCCACCAAGGCUAUGACGGGUAGCUGGUCUGAGAGGACGACCAGUCACACUCGCACUGAGACACGGGCGAGACUCCUACGGGAGGCAGCAGUGAGGAAUAUUCCGCAAUGGGCGAAAGCCUGACGGAGCGACGUCGUGUGGGUGAUGAAGUCUUUCGGGAUGUAAAGCCCUGUUAGAGGGGAAGAUAUUGACGGUACCCUCAGAGGAAGCCCCGGCUAACUACGUGCCAGCAGCCGCGGUAAUACGUAGGGGGCAAGCGUUGUCCGGAUUUAUUGGGCGUAAAGCGCGCGUAGGCGGUGAUUUAAGUCGGAUGUUAAAGGUAGAGGCUCAACUUCUACAUCGCAUUCGAUACUAUUUCACUAGAGAGAUUCAGAGGGAAGUGGAACUUCCGGUGUAGCGGUGAAAUGCGUAGAUAUCGGAAGGAACACCAGUGGCGAAGGCGACUUCCUGGGGAUCUUCUGACGCUGAGGUGCGAAAGCUAGGGGAGCAAACGGGAUUAGAUACCCCGGUAGUCCUAGCCGUAAACUAUGGUCACUAGGUGUUUGUGGUAUCGACCCCACGAGUGCCGCAGCUAACGCGAUAAGUGACCCGCCUGGGGAGUACGGCCGCAAGGCUAAAACUCAAAAGAAUUGACGGGGGCCCGCACAAGCGGUGGAGCAUGUGGUUCAAUUCGAUGCUACGCGAAAAACCUUACCUGGGUUUGACAUCCACAUAGUAGGAGCCAGAAACGGUAACGAUCCAGUUUACUGGAAGUGUGGACAGGUGCUGCAUGGCUGUCGUCAGCUCGUGCCGUGAGGUGUUGGGUUAAGUCCCGCAACGAGCGCGACCCCUAUUGUUAGUUGCUUCCUUUUUCGGAAUGCUCUCUAACGAAACUGCCCCUGAUAAAGGGGAGGAAGGUGGGGACGACGUCAAGUCAUCAUGGCCCUUACGCCCAGGGCUACACACGUGCUACAAUGGUACGUUCAAAGGGAAGCAAAACCGCAAGGUUGAGCAAAUCCCAAAAUGCGUGCCUCAAUUCGGAUUGCAGGCUGCAAUUUGCCUGCAUGAAGCUGGAAUCGCUAGUAAACGCAGAUCAGCGUGCUGCGUUGAAUACGUUCCCGGGCCUUGUACACACCGCCCGUCACACCAUGAGAGUCGGGAAUGCCCGAAGUCGGUAAUUCAACCCGUAAGGGAGAUAGCCGCCUAAGGCAGUAUCGAUGAUUGGGGUGAAGUCGUAACCAAGGUA
rnacentral:rRNA from 1 species